GAUGGCAGAUGAUCGCUGGUGAAUCGCAAGAUUCGCUGGAGGAAAGUCCGAACACCAAACGGCAGCAUGCCACGUAGAAAACGUGGGCAGCGUUCUCGAAAGCGAACGUUGACGGAAAGUGUCACAGAAAAGACACCGCCGGUUCUUUGAAAGGAGCGCAGGCAAGGGUGAAAAGGCGAGGUAAGAGCUCACCGCUCGCGGAGUAAUUCGCGAGGCACGAAAAACCCCAUGCGGUGCAAGACAAAACAGAGGGAGGACAGCCGGUCCGCUACGAUCCUCGGGUAUCGUCGCAUCAUGGUCCCGCGAUUGCGGGAUCGGGCGGUCCCGCGCAAGCGGGAUUGAGAUAAAUGAUCAUCGUCCCGGAGAAAUUCGGGAGACAGAAUUCGGCUUACCGCCAUCUAAA
rnacentral:RNase_P_RNA from 1 species